rnacentral:rRNA from 1 species
AACGUAGGAGACAAACGUUAUCCGGAGUUACUGGGCGUAAAGGGCGUGUAGGCGGUUCGUUAAGUCUGGCGUGAAAGCUCUCGGCUAAACCGGGAGAGGUCGUUGGAUACUGGCAAACUAGAGGACGGUAGAGGCGUGUGGAAUUCCGGGUGUAGUGGUGAAAUGCGUAGAGAUCCGGAGGAACACCAGUGGCGAAGGCGACACGCUGGGCCGAUACUGACACUGAGGAGCGAAAGCGUGGGGAGCGAACAGG